rnacentral:misc_RNA from 1 species
GUGAAUCAUCAAAUUUUUGAACGCAAAUUGCACUCUCCUCGGAGAGUAUGCGUGUUUGAGGGUCAGCCUAUAAAAAAUCUACAUCGUUGCUGUUUCGCGGUGACGUUCGUCGGAAAUUGGGUCAUCUUAAAUCCUUUUGGUUUUAAGCGACUGAGAAUUUUCUUUUUGGUUCCAUGAACGUUUCUAAGUUCUCUCUCUUUACACGUUUAAGGGUAUC